rnacentral:rRNA from 1 species
GCAAGUCUGGUGCCAGCAGCCGCGGUAAUUCCAGCUCCAAUAGCGUAUAUUAAAGUUGUUGCAGUUAAAAAGCUCGUAGUUGAACCUUGGGCUUGGUUGGCCGGUCCGCCUUUUUGGCGAGUACUGGACCCAACCGAGCCUUUCCCUCUGGCUAACCUUUCGCCCUUGUGGUGUUUGGCGAACCAGGACUUUUACUUUGAAAAAAUUAGAGUGUUCAAAGCAGGCCUUUGCUCGAAUAUAUUAGCAUGGAAUAAUAGAAUAGGACGUUAUGGUUCUAUUUUGUUGGUUUCUAGGACCAUCGUAAUGAUUAAUAGGGACGGUCGGGGGCAUCAGUAUUCAGUUGUCAGAGGUGAAAUUCUUGGAUUACCUGAAGACUAACUACUGCGAAAGCAUUUGCCAAA